rnacentral:tRNA from 1 species
GUAGAUGGCUCAGUGGUUAAGAGCACUGGCUCCUCUUCCAGAGGUCCUGAGUUCAAUUCCCAGCAACCACA